CUCUGAGCCCUGCAGCCCCCGGGGCCCCCACCUAGCUCGCAGGGCAGCUAAACCAGCCCAACGUCAGCCUGAUGGCCAAUGUCAGCAUGACCAGAAACAUGCCAGCCGUGAGAUAAACUCCCUCCGACCAGAAACAUGCCAACCCUGCAAUAAAGCUUUCCUCACACAGCAACGUUCUGAGCCUGUGAUAAGCCCUCCCUCCCUAACCCAUUCUCUUACUUGGUCUGUAAGAGAAUGCUCCUGAGUCAGCGAGAAGGCCCACUCAGGUUCCUUCCCAAAGUAAACCUGUUUUUGACUGUGG